AAAAGGGGCGUCCCUACAUCUCUUUCUUCCACUUCACAACUCAGAUCCACAAAACCAUCAGAAAGAAAUAAUCUGCAUUCACUUCAAACUUUAGAAGAUGGGAAGGACUAGCCAAGCUUUGCUCCUUUUCGCUCUCGCUCUCCUGCUACUGUCAUCACCAGGUGCAACGGCGGCGGCGGCGGAAGAGGUGGUGGUGCCGAAGGCAGAUUGUUCAGUGACGACGAUCGGGCUUGGGCAGCCGUGUGAGCAGCAUUACUGUGCGACGGAGUGCAAGAAGGAGCAUGACGGCAUGGGUGCCUGCGCCGCCAUGGGCUGCAGCUGCGCCGUCUGCGCUAAAUAUCCUCCCUCAUUCGAACAGACCAAUGGGAUGAACUAGCUUCCUUUUUGGGAGCCUUUUUCUUUUUACCCUUGUAAAUUGUUUCAAGAAAAAUGCAUCGAAAUGGAUUUUUGAUUUACAAGGUUGUCAUUGCAACCAAAACUAAACUCCCAAGCAGGUCUCUAGCAGCAAUUUACUAGCUAAGAUAUACAUGAUGCCACGUUCAUUUCAUAAAAAAGGAAUGAUGAUAAAUAAAUCAAACAACCAUGUCAAAAUUAUGCGACAGGAAUUUGUUACUCUAGUUUUUUUCUGUCUGUAUCCCCGAUAGUUGCACAAACUAAAACGCAAGAAAAAAAUACUAUAAUAAACAAAGAAAUGAAUAAAAUAAACAUGUCCAAAUUAAGAAAAAUGAAAUGGCCGCAAAAGAAAAACAAAAUAGUAAGAGAAUCAAUCCCUGUGUCAACAGAAGAAUAAACAUGUCAAUUUAUUUUCUUAAUGCGUACAGCCGUAUCAAGAAAUAAAUAAAUAAAGCAAACAACCAUUGAAUCAAUCCCCGGUGUGCAAUGUGCAUCUUUUAGAUCGUAUUCGUUAAUAAACAUCAAACGCUAGUAAAAGAAAACCAAACUAUUUUCUUGUGUAACAUGGAUCCAUUACCAGAUGUAUAUUCCAAUCGGAUAAUCCCAGCCGUAAGUUCAAUCCAUUCCUCCCGACUUCCUCUCCUCUCUC